UGACGAGUCCUUAACUGACGCUAAUGCUCGAAAGUGCGGGUAUCGAACAGGAUUAGAUACCCUGGUAGUCCGCACGGUAAACGAUGGAUGCCCGCUGUUGGCGAUACAAUGUCAGCGGCCAAGCGAAAGCGUUAAGCAUCCCACCUGGGGAGUACGCCGGCAACGGUGAAACUCAAAGGAAUUGACGGGGGCCCGCACAAGCGGAGGAACAUGUGGUUUAAUUCGAUGAUACGCGAGGAACCUUACCCGGGCUUGAACUGCAGGAGAACGAUUCAGAGAUGAUGAGGUCCUUCGGGACUCCUGUGGAGGUGCUGCAUGGUUGUCGUCAGCUCGUGCCGUGAGGUGUCGGCUUAAGUGCCAUAACGAGCGCAACCCCUUUCUUCAGUUGCCAUCAGGUUAUGCUGGGCACUCUGGAGACACUGCCACCGUAAGGUGUGAGGAAGGUGGGGAUGACGUCAAAUCAGCACGGCCCUUACGUCCGGGGCUACACACGUGUUACAAUGGGUGGUACAGAGAGCGGGCUGCCUGCAAAGUCAGCCGAAUCAUGAAAGCCAUCCUCAGUUCGGAUUGGGGUCUGCAACCCGACCCCAUGAAGCUGGA
rnacentral:rRNA from 1 species